GGCGAACGGGUGAGUAGCGCAUCGGAACGUGCCCAGUAGUGGGGGAUAGCUCGGCGAAAGCUGGAUUAAUACCGCAUACGACCCAUGGGUGAAAGCGGGGGACCGCAAGGCCUCGCGCUAUUGGAGCGGCCGAUGCCCGAUUAGCUAGUUGGUGAGGUAAAGGCUCACCAAAGCAACGAUCGGUAGCUGGUCUGAGAGGACGACCAGCCACACUGGGACUGAGACACGGCCCAGACUCCUACGGGAGGCAGCAGUGGGGAAUUUUGGACAAUGGGGGAAACCCUGAUCCAGCCAUGCCGCGUGCGGGAAGAAGGCCUUCGGGUUGUAAACCGCUUUUGGCAGGAACGAAACGGCGCGCGCUAAUACCGCGCGCUAAUGACGGUACCUGCAGAAUAAGCACCGGCUAACUACGUGCCAGCAGCCGCGGUAAUACGUAGGGUGCAAGCGUUAAUCGGAAUUACUGGGCGUAAAGCGUACGCAGGCGGCUGUGCAAGACAGGUGUGAAAUCCCCGGGCCCAACCUGGGAACUGCACUUGUGACUGCAUGGCUAGAGUCCGUAAGAGGGGGGUGGAAUUCC
rnacentral:rRNA from 1 species